CACCGAGCCAGCCCACCUACCCCCACCGGUCGCCUACUCCUCCUGUGCCCCUGGCGCGGUCGCUACAGGGGCGGGUCGCCCCCGACCACCUCGCCGGCGUCGUCGCAGGGAGGAUAAGGCCGCCACCCGCGCCUCCUCGGGCUCCUCCCCUGCCACUCCGCUCACCCCACUUCCCCUUCCCCUAGAUCUCGCUUCCCCUCACUCUCUCCCGCGGCGGAUCCCCUCCGUCCUGACGCCGCACCUCCGUGGCCACGGAGCCCUUCCAACCUCGUCGGCAUGUCCACGACCUCCGCCGUCCUCCCCGACUUCCUCUACGCCGACGUAUUGGACCGAGGGCAGCUACAAAGACGACCCCGAGCUCUCCGUCCACCGUUGACUCGCCGGUCGCCGUCGCCAACUCCGGCCGCCUCUGCUGCUCCUAAACCGUUCGCCGGCCGCCUUGCGCCGCUAGACCCCGAGACUGCCGCUGAUGCCGCUGUGAUCGACUACGUCGACGACGACCCCUUCUUCUUGUCUGAGCAACCAGAUGGUGGGUCCUUGGAGCUAGAUGCCACCGCCGACGGAUACUACUACAUGAAGGCCACCGAAGACCAGGAGUAGUUAGGAGGUCCCAGGCAGGAGGCCUUGCCUCUUCGAUCGUUGUUGUUUUUGUGCUUGCCUUCUUAAGGCAUCCUUGUCUAACUUAUGUCUGUACUCAGAUAUUGUUGCUUCCGCUGACUCUUGUGUAUCGAGCUUGUAUUCGAGCCCUCGAGGCCCCUGGCUUGUAAUAUGAAGCU
rnacentral:rRNA from 1 species